CAGUCUUAGAUUUGAUGUGCCACCUAAUAUGCUGUAGUUCAGUGGCUAUGUGACAGAUGGAAUAAUGUGCACUACAUACUUUAAUUCAGAUCCAGUAGAAGAGUAUGAUCUCACAGUUAGUGCAUUUUGAUAUACGGACAAUUUCAUGUUGGAUGAUACCUUUUGUUUAUAGUCUUAUGUUUCUAAUGUUACUGUCAGUCUCAGCAGCUGAAGCACAGUAUUUUUGUGUUAUGUUUUAUGCCAGUAUCAUUUUAACGCUGGGUGCAUUAAGAGUAGAUGUAGUUACAGAAUGAGUCCAGCAGAGGGAGCUCUAAACUGCUGAGGUAUGCUGAAGGGCACGUCGCUUCUUUUCUUCCACUCAUUAUACACAUGAGCUGAGGGAAGUUGUGUCUGUGCAUCUUUCACACUAAUAUCUCCCUUUUCAGUAUGAGUGCUUCAUAAUGACUGUUCAUGGUGGAAUGUGUUUUAGUUGACGGUGUAUAGAUGUCUAAGAAACCAUUUGCGGUACUUUAUAUUUGUCUAUUUCGAAGAAAUGAAGUAAAUUACCUGACGCUAGUCAUAUUAGCCUUGUUAUGCUAACCCCGCCCUCGCCUGUGUAGUAGCGGUGCGCAGUAGCCGUUUUUACAGCUGUCAGAGUUUGAAACAUUAAUGUCAGUGUUAGUGUUUAUUGUCAGAAUGGACAUGUUGUCUUGCUGUUGGAUGUACAUUUCUGAUUGUGAUAUUUCGGUACAACUUUCUGAUAUUUCUUGCACUUAAGCAUAGUGGUUUGUUGUGCUAUUGGUUCCGAUUGUAGGAGAUGAACCACUCAUUAUACACGUGAGGUGUCUGUGCAUCUUUCACAUUAAUACCUCCCUUUUCAGGGCUUUUACAGCUACAUCCUGCAGUUCACAUGGCAGGACAGCUGUAGACCACACUUGGCCAGAUAUGGGGAUCUCAGGUUCUGCAGAAAGGAGGCCUGAGAUGGGAAAAUUAAAAUCUAGAUUAUUACCUUUUAGACAUUGCUCUUGUGUUAGGAGCAUCAUAUUGUUAUAUUCUAUUUAUAACAACAAGUUACUUACUCACAUGGUACCCAAUGCAUUUGCUGCCUCAAAGUUUUCUAUUUUCUGUCACAAAGGGUAUCUGAGUUAAUGAUAUCUAUUUCCACUAGAUGGCGCUUGUGUACUUAAGCACUCACUCAUUUCACUAACUUUUGAUUAGUUUAAUUUGUAUAAUUUUAUAUUUUGGUUAUUUUAUAAUGCUUAUUGUGAUUUCUACACUCAACUGUUGUUUAUUUGAGAAGAUUUAUUCUUUCUAAGAGUUUUAGUUGUUUUAUUUUAUUCCCAUCUUGCUUUGUACGUCACUUCCUGUUUUGCCAUCCACAUGCAAUGCAAUAGAUAGAUAGAUAGAUAGAUAGAUAGAUUUACUUUAUUGAUCCCAUGAGGGAAAUUCUUGUGUUACAGCAGCAUGGUCAGUAGCAAGAUACAACACGUACACGUACGAGUCUGCUCAUUCCCAAAAAACACACAAAAUAUAAAAUAUAAAAUACAAUACGUUAAAUUGAAUGUAGUAGUGCAGAUAUGGAAUACAGUUGUAGAUUUAACCAGAUUUACACCAGUAUUUACAUAAGUACACUUGUGAAAACUGGUAGUGAAUAAUGAUGAAUAUGAAGAACCUUGAGAAUGUAGAAUAUAAUGACAGCUUUCUAAAUGAUAGCUUCCUUGUAGAAGUGUAAUGUUAUCGUAAGGAUUAAGUUGUUUCUCUUCAUGAAUAUAAGCCAUCCAAGAAAGAAACUUCAAGAUGUAAACCCCUCUCUUAGUUCACAAGCACUUAGUUUAAAGUCGUAUGUGUGUUACAUGUAACUCAGUGUGUGACUGAUGUUUGUUAUAUUUGUCCUGUUCAUUUAGUUCUACGGUGUUGGUGUCGAUGUCGAUGGAUGCAUUAAACAUCUGUGAACGGAACCUCAGCCUUCGCGUUGUGACUAAGGGCGGCAUACCCAAUACGAUGCAAAUGGAAAAAAGCAGGUCAUGAUGCCCUGAUACUGUCUGGAAAAGCAGGUGUCAAAAAAAAAAGAAAUAUAUUUGAAUAUCAACAGAAUGAAAGAUUCAACAGGUGAACUAAUUCCAGUACAGAACCUAUAGGAUGUUGCGGAUGCGCGACUGAACGGAUCACUUCCCGAGAUGGAAUGACCCAUCACUACGAAAGACAGAGACAGCGCCAGUGUGUUACAGCGGAGAGUGAGAGGGUGUACAGAUUUCUUUCCUGCUGUUCUAAAGAAUCACCCACACAGCCAGCUGCCACAGAUGAUGGAGGAAUGAACUCUUCUCCCACUCUGAUGAUGGUCGUAUCCCUCCUCUUAUUAGCCAGUCAUUUCAGCACAAUAACAUGACAGGCAUACUUUAUGUUGAUUUUUUUCCUUCAUUCUUCUUAUGAGGCAAAAUAGUCGGUCAGAUUUUGUGAACAGUUCAGCUUGAGGUACAAGAGUGUACUGUUACCAGUUGCUGGUGUUUCUUUUACACUGGGUAACGAUUUGGCAGGUAGUAAAGUACUUUCCCUUCCUGAAGUGACCCGUUCACUACAAGUGAAGGUGUCCUUACCCAGCAGUAUCCCUAGUGUUCCCUACUUGUCUGCUCACCCGUGUUCUUCAUGUGAACAGCUUGAACUUGAACUAGGUGUGCGGUUACGCCUGAUGGGAAGCUCUGGUACGUUAUGUUAGGUGAUGACUGUUGACUUCAUCUGUCACUGCUCAUUACUAUAUACUAAACUUCUUGCAUGUUUGUACAUUUCUACCUUUUUAUUUCAUAUUUUUCAUGAUUGUAUUUUUGUCUGUACUUUAUUCCUUUGUAUGUUGCGGCCAGUCCUUCGGUGCUUGGCCCCCUAAUAACAAUAAUACAUUCUCUUAAAAGAUGUUUUAGUAAAUGUAUUUUUAUUUGGA